rnacentral:lncRNA from 1 species
ACAACACUAUUAUUGAUAGUUUGUCCAAAGACGGAUUGGUCGAUGAUGCUUUGGGUCUUCUUGCCGAAAUGAGUGACAGAGGCAUUCAACCAAAUGUUGUAUCCUAUAGCUCAUUAAUUCAUGGUAUGUGCAACCUUAACCGAUGGGAUGAUAUAACACAAUUGUUAAAAGAUAUGGGCAGACACAAAAUUUCUCCGGAUAAGAAUACCUAUAGUAUAUUGGUUGAUGCACAUGCAAGAGAUGGAAAGGUCAAAGAUGCUGAGUAUCUGAUAGAGUUAAUGAUUCGAAGAGGCCAAAGUCCUGACGUAGUCACAUAUAGUGCACUCAUGGAUGGAUACUGCUUGCGGGGAGAAUUGGAUAAAGCGUUAGCAGUGCUCAAAACCAUGACAAGUAAGGGGAUUUUUCCCGACAGUCAGACCUAUACUAUAUUGAUCAAUGGUUAUUGUAAGAAGAUGAAAGUCGACACAGCAAUAACUCUCUUAGAAGAAAUGCCCCUGAAAGGUUUAACACCUACAGUUGAAACAUACAGUACUAUUUUGGAUGGCUUAUUUCGUACGCGUAGGCUUGAUGAAGCACAUAAGUUUUAUAGGAAGAUGUUAAACCAAGGUGUCAGACUGAAUAUAGUGACAUGUUGUACCUUGCUUCAUGGACUUUGCUGGAAUGGACUGGUUGUUGAAGCAAUGUUCUUGUUUCACAAGAUGGAGUCUUGUGGCUUAGUUCCUGAUAUACACAUUUAUAGUAUUCUGAUUCAUGGAUUGUUCAAGGACGGCAAGGUUGACAAGGCAAGGAACCUUUUUCAUAAUCUUCUUUUGAAGGGUUUACAGCCUAGUGUCAAAACCUACACCAUUAUGAUCCAUGGAUUCUGCCAAGAAGGGUUGCUGGAAGAAGCAUAUAAAAUACUUUUGGAAAUGGAAGAACACAAUUGCUUGCCUGAUGAAGUUACCUACAACACUCUUAUUCGUUGCUGCUUUAAGAAUAAGAUGUAUGAUGGAGGUUGUGUGCUUAUAGAUGAGAUGGUCGCUCAUGGUUUCAAAGCAGAUGCCUCUACCGCCUCGAUGCUAUUUAAUUUGCUGCAAUUAAAAGAGCAGGACCCUGCGCUCGUUGCUUUGCAGAAGAAGUUCAUGCCUUGACUACAUCAAUGAGCGAGUUUAUUAAGGUACAAAAUACUUUUAAAUUUCCAGAACUUUGUAAUAAUUUGCUACGAUAUAUAAUGCCAAUAGCAAUUGUGAUAUUGGAGUGAAUAAUAUGUAAUUUUGUUGAAUAUGUAAUUUCCAGAACCAUUACAAUUAUUUUUUGAUAUAUUAGUUCUUAAUAUAUGUUUUUUUUUUGCUAAAUUUAAUAUAUGUUUUUUUUCGUCGUCUCUGUGUAGUUUUGAACUUUCUUCCAAAGAAAGGGAAUCCAUCAGAACUACUAUUUAUAUAUUAUUAAACUUGUUUUCUCUGCAUAAAAAUUGUUUUGUCAUGCAUACUCUCCAAAGAUGUUGUCCUCUAUACUUAUCAUAAUAAUAGUAGGAUAAUUAGCUGGUCUGCUUUUGCAAAGGAGAACUCUUUGCAGGUUGGAGUCUUGGAGGUGCUUGUUUCCUGAAGUGAUGUAUCAUGGAGGUUGUGUACUUAUAGAUGAGGUGUGUGCUCAUGGUUUCAAAACAGAUGCCUCUACCGCCUCCAUGUUAUUCGAUUUGCUGCAAUUGAAAGAGCAGUACCCCAUGCUCCUUGCUUUGCAGAAGUUCAUGCCUUGAGUACAUCAAGGAGAGAGUUUAUUAAGGUACAAAAUACUUUUAAAUUGCCAAAACUUCGUAAUAGUGUGCUACAAAAUUUUAAAUCAGUAGCAAUUAUGAUAUUAGAGAUAAUAGAAUGUAAUUGUUAAAAUCGAAUUUCGAACUGGUGACCGUGUUGUAUUUGCAUCUUUUCACAAAACGAGAAGUGUGGUAGAGCAUCUAUUUUGCUUUAACAAAGAGUUGGUUUCUUAGGAGAUGCGUACCACCUGAAUAUUACCGGACCUAUUCUUGCUCUGCAUGGUACAUACUGGAAUCUGUUGAUCCGGUGUAAAAAUUAUUAUUUACUCGGACCUUCGUGGAACUACUUUUGAUAUAUUAUUAAACUUGUUUUCAGACUGUAGUCACAAAUUUGUUUUUAAAAAUGCCUCCAGUCAAGUAUGUAUAUUCAGAAAUAUCCUGUGCAACUACAUGUACACAUAUCUGCAACUAUUAUUGUAAAACUCUAAGAACAUUGUGGAGAUGGUAGAUUAUGGUUGAAGAAAGUAGAAGAUAAUGAGCAAGGCUAUCACUACUUCCAUAAGAUUAAUCCACUCUCUCUUUUCUCCACUUAAUCAGACCCUGAUCCCGAAACCGCCUAAACUCCUUCAUGGAUACCUCAUCCGCAACUUCAACAGUUACUUCAUUAGAAAAAUGGUCGGUUAUAUGAGUUCCGUGGUGCUAUUCUUGUGUUAGACAAAAUGCUCCAAGCGAGACCUCGUACUAGUGUUAUCGACUUUAAUUAACUGUUAUCCACGAUCAUUACAAUGAAACAAUACUAUGUUGCUGACUCUUUUUACUGAUACUUAUGCUUUUACCAUUCCAGUUAUUGUAUAUGCCAGUCAUCGAAAGGUUAGCAGCUGCUACUAAUCAUCCAUCUUCUGACAAAUUCCCCUACUUUUGCAAUAGUAGUUUAGUUUUAAUGUCUACAUCAAUUUUUUAGCGGCUUAUUUAUACUCCGAUCAUUCAGAUUUGUACUGAAAUACACACUGACCACUAAUUUUUUUCAUCCAAUUUCAUCAUUCUAGUUUGACGAUUGACGACUAUGCACUCCAGCUAUAAAUCUGGUAAAAAUAAUCUCUUGUGUUACACUUACCGGCACAAGAGCGUAUAUGAGCAUGGUUAUGAACACCAUAAUUAUUUGUAUAAUAUAUAUAUCAAUGUCAGGCCUCACAAUCACUGACAUCAAAAACCUCUUAGGGACGCCUAGCAGCUCAAGAUCAUCACCGAGACGAUUAAUGGAUCCCAUAAGUUUCUAUCUGGAAAGGGAAGAAUAAGCAGUCAUUUUGUUUGAUCAUUGGUGAGCUUUCUGUAUAGACUUAAGUAUAGCAGCAUGCUUUGUUUGCUGUUCAUAUUUAUAUCAAAAUUCAUGCACUUUUACUCUUAAUCGCCUAAUGUUGUACCAAAUUUACUCCAGAAAAUUGAUGGAAAUUAAAUAACAUUCUUUUCACAUGGAUGAUUUAUUUUUCUCCUUCGCAUGGAGGGUAGAAUUUUAAUGGAAAUAGGGAAGCAAUGGUAGCAUUAUAGGUUAAUAUUGGUUGCAUUUACAUACAAUUGUUUGCCUGAUGAAGUUACAUACGACACUCUUAUCCGCGGCUGCUUUAAGAAUAAGAUGUAUGAUGGAGGUUGUUUACUUAUAGAUGAGAUGUGUGCCCCUGGUUUCAAAGCAGAUGCAUCUACCACAUCCAUGCUAUUCAAUUUGCUGCAAUCGAAAGAGCAGGACCCCCGCUCCUUGCUUUGCAGAAGAAGUUCAUGCCUUGACUACAUCAAUGAGAGUUUUAUUAGGGUACAAAGUACUUUAAAUUGCCAAAACUUUGUACUAAUUUGCUACAAUAUUUUAUUUCAAUAGCAAGUGUGAUAUCAGCGUUAUAAUAUGUAAUUUUGUUGUACAUCAAAUUCGAAAUGGUGGUCGUGUUAUAUUCUUGUGACAGACAAUAUUCUCCACAUGAGACUUGGUACUACGGUUAUUAACUUCAAUCAAAUGUAAUCUGCCAUUGUUAAAAUCAAACAAUACUAUUUUGCUGUCUUUCUUUACUGAAACUUGUGCUUUUACCAUUCCAGUUGAAGUAUAGUUCAUUUUGGUUAACGGAAGUAGCAGACAAUGCGAAAAGCAAAGCAUGAAUACAAAGCAAUGUUUUUGGAAAAACAAAGCAUGAAUACAUCAGAUCCAGAAGUAUAUACUCACAGCAUGUAGUAAUGUGAAAUAGAUUUAUGCAUCUUUAUUUUUAUAUGAAGGAGGUUUCUCGAUAUGGAUUACGUGGCAGCUCCCAAAAUCCUUCCUCUAAUAUUCCUCUUUUUCUAGCCUUUGUCUAUAUUUUGUUAAUUUUAUAUUUAUUCUCUAUUUUUAUAACUUAUUAUGAGGAUUACUACAUCAGUUAUGAAACUUUGAUUUUCUAUUUCGCAUGUCCUUUUGCUUUUCAGGUCUCAGUGGCUUCUCUUCGAGGUACUCGGUCUCUGCAAUUCUAUAUGCCAUCUCUCUCGCUCUCCGUUUUUUUUUUACAAUCCGGUCUAAUCUGGUUUGCUUCUUUAUUUUCAGGUCUCGAGUGGCUUCUCCUUCGAGGUCUCGUGCCAGAGUUUGCAGGGCGAUGGAGUGUGUUACUCUCUUUCUCUCUCUCUCCCUCCCUCCUCUCCUCUCUCAAUUUUACUUGUCUGAUUUUGAUGAUGGCUGUGUAAGUUUCUUGGUAGAUAGAGAAAACUUGGUAUUUAUUUGUCGUCCUCGCAGCAUAAUUUACAAGGCCAUGGAAUGGAUCAUGAUGAGGAAACCUCCGGUAUCCAAUGUAUAGCUCUCUCUCUCUCUCUCUAUCUCUCUCCUCCUCUCUCUCUCCCUCCCUUGCUCCCUCUCCCCUCCUCUCUCCAUUUUACUUGUCUGAUUUUGUCGAAUGUGUGAGUUUCUUGAUGAAUAGAGAAAACCCGGUAUUUAUUAUGAUAAUAUCUCUUCUUUCCCCCCAAAUUUCAUCACCAUCUGUCUCAAAUCACCUCACUAAUCUUCGUGUCCUUGGCCCUAGCUUGAAUCCCACUUGUCACCACUCUUUUUCUCGCUAAUUUUGCUAUAAAAUUGAGCCUUCAUAUUGUUCGGUGCUUUCUUGAUUGUGUUUUAGCUUAAAGAUUGCACCUUUACUGUUUAUGUUGAUUUUAGGUUAAAGAAGGAAGAAUUUGAAAAGGGUCUGUUUAAUCUGAAAAGCAAUUUUGUUAAUGAAAAGAGAAAUUAGCUAAUAAAGUUUAACUAAGGCUCUUAGCACACCAUAGGAAGAUUGAUACCAGGCAUAAAUCACCAAUUAUUUGGUAGCUAGAAUGUAAUUCCAUUUGCCGGUUCCAUCGCAUCUUCAAUUUCAGGCGCUGUGUUAUUGAUGAUGAUCUAUUUCAGCUUUCUAAGCUCCAAGGCAAAAUAUUUUUUCUGUUGUAUCAAAGUGACAAAAGAUUUAAAAGGCUUUCCAGGCUUGCUCGAAUUCCGUAAUUUUGUUUAUAAAGUUAGGUAAACUUUUUACUAAUAAUGGACGAAAGAGAAUCGUGCAUAAAAAUUAUAAAUCUUGACAUUUUACUCAUUAUAUUGUGAAAAACAUCUUCGAGACCACAUGGAUUUUUCUCAGUAUGUUGCAGCAAAUUCCCCUAGCCUGAAAGAUCUUCAGGAGGAAUCAAAUAAAUCACGAAACAGCUUCUCUGCUUUAAAAGCUCUAUGUUCUGUGAUGUUUUCAGUGUUGAGGUAUUAUAUUAUUGUAAGUUUCAAACAAUUACUUUCUUACUUGAAAAAAAAAUGAAGUAAGAUACUGAACACAGGAGAUGAAUUAAGUUCCUUCCUUACCUUUGGAGGGCCACUAAAAUCCUAUGAAUCUCAAGAUAAUAAGGUAUAGAUGUACUGGCCCGAAUGAUUCUAUAUUGUGCCAGCCUGACAUACUGCCUUUUUUCAAGAUAGAUUUUCAAUAAAAAAAUAUACUUUUUUUUUGACAGAAUAAAAAAAUAUACUUCAUUCUACUAUAAUUCUAAAUAAUAUUUUUUAUAUUUUAAUUUUUAAUUAUUUAAAAUCUAAAUUAUAUUGAAACAUAGUGAAAUAUUUUAUUCAUAUUUUGAUUUUUUAUCAUCGAAUUUUUUCAUAUAUUUUAUUAAUAAAAUGGAAAAAGAGCUAAAAUUAUUAAUACGUAACUAUUUAGCGUGUUAUAUAUGCUGGAAUGACGAAAGGGACUUCAGCAAAGCGAUUCUUGAGCACAGGAAGGCGGCGAAUCUUUGGUGUUUGAUGAGGUUGUUAAUGAUGAUAAUUCGGUGGUUUCACUAGAAAAGAUUUUCGUUUGCCACUCUGCAUGCCUUUAUUUUUUACAUCUAUUAUCAUGUGUACCUCUACCUUUUUCUAGGUUAUAAAGAUCAUGUGUACCUCUACAUUUUUCCAGGUUAUAAAGAUUGAUUGGUUAAACAGCUGUUGGUUUGAGCAAGUAGCAGAAGAUACUGAUGGGUGCAGAAGGUGAAGUGAAGUGUGAAGAGAAUUUGUGAUAGUUGGUACUGGAAUAUGCGGCUUUGCUACAGCUCUCGCUCUUCACAGGUACAUUCAACUUUAUGCUUGUGUGUAUGCUUGUAAUUAAACACAUGAUCGCUUGCAAUUCAUUUGGAAAUUAUUGCUUUUAUCUCUGCCCAUGCUUUCAAUUUUCAAAGUGCUUAAUUACCUUUAAAUUUAGACAUGAAAAACGCUAGAGUUUGGGAAGCUGGACUUAGGGUAUCACAUGCAGUUAUAGUAGAUACACAUCCAUAUUAGUGGCACACUUAUAGCCUGUAGCAAACAUGUUUGCAAAGAUAACAUGUGCAUUUCAGGGAUGCAAAUCUCCCUAAGUUAAGUUAAUUUCAACAGAAUCACCUCCAUAACAUGAUAUUGGAGCUAACAUUUAUGAGCUAUUCUACUUCAAAAAAAUAAAUUUAUACUAUGGCUGAAUAUUGCUCUAGAAGAUGGGUUUUUAGUGAAUCUUUGGCCUGAAAUUUGGGAGUUUAAGUUAGUGGAUAAAGAUAUGGUGUUUUAAAAAAAUAAUUAUCAUUUUAUAGUAUUUUGAGUCGUAUAAAAUAACAAUCUGAACAUUGGUUUAUUUGGUGCAGAAUGGGUAUAAGAUGCACAGUUUUGGAAAGAUUGGAGAGUUUGAGAUUUUCUGAUAUGGCUCUCACCAUUAUGCCAAAUGGAUGACGAGCAUUACAUCAGCUUAAUGUUGCUUCAAUCCUUAGACAAUUUCAAGGCAUUCAAGCGUACACUCAGGUUGUGUUCACUUCAUAGAAUGGAAUGAGGGGAGAAUGGAAUGAAAUUUAUAUUAUAAAUUGGGAAUGAUUAGUGAAAUUGUUUAUGAUUUUCAUUCCUUCAAUCAUUCCAUUCUAACUAUUUUAACUAAAAAUCUGACCCACAUGUUAUGAAAGGAAUGUUCAUUCCAUUUGUUCAUCAUCUUUUCCUAUCAUCUUUUUCAUGAAAAUUUUUAAUUUUUAACUCUCUCAUAUUUAAUCAUUAUUGCCUCAUACUUUCUCCAAUAUCCAUAAACUUGUUCAUAUAGUUUCAUUCCAUUUUCCCCUCAUUCCACUCCAUGAAGUGAACACAACCUCAGUAAUUGAGCUGUUGAUUAUAUUGGCACAUUACUAAUCUCAAUUAUAAUUAUAUGUUCAUUCUUUCCAAAACCCUCUGUCCUUUCUUGAUAGGUCAACUGGAGUUUAUAGAGGAAGCAAAUGGUUGAGAUUAAACUAGAAGAGCAAAUACAUCUAAAGCAGCAGAUAGUCAUAAUUAUAGUGGAAGGUCAAACCUGACAAAAAAAAAAGAAAAAAAAAAGUGGAAGGUCAAAGAAUGGUCCUACUUGCAGCAAUGAGGAGGCAGAGCAAAAGUUGCGUGGAUUCACUUGGUGUGAACUUAUUUAUGAUGACAAAUCUAAAGUAUAGAAAGAGGUGUAUGUUUUUUGAUUUGAGAGGAGUCCUCUCUUAUGUAUAUUUUUCUUCCUUAACUUAUAAAAUUAUAUGAAGUGUCGUUCUCAUUUGCUCACAAAAAAUUAAUUAAAUUAUAAUAAAAUAAAAUGUUUGAUUCAUCCUUACAUUUUUUAUAACUAAAAAUAUAUUUUUAAAUCUCACAACAAUACAAAAUAAAAGAAUACGAGAAUCUUUAAAAAAAAAAAUAUAUUUUUUAGUUUUCUCACUCGCGCGGAGUUCGUUUUUUCUAUUGGUUGAUAUUAUACUUGUUCUAAUUUGGGAGCUAUAUAAACUUAUGUAUGAUGAAUUGAUGAUAAACUUGCGGUGUAUGUUAGAACGCUGGAAGCUAAAUAAUUGACAGGUAAUAUCUGGAAUUAACAUAGCUUAAUAGUUAACUAUAUAAUAGAAAAUAAAGAUCAGGAUGUAUAGGCUACAUCUUCAUACAGACACAGCCAUUAGAGCAAGUCCAACAAUGUCUUAACAAAUGCCCUAUAUAUAUAAUAAAAAAUAAUGUUCUAGUGAUUUAAGACAUCAUUUUAAUAUAACAACUCCAACAAUAUGUCUUAUUAUUGUGUCUUAGUAUAUUUGAAUUACCGUUGGAGGGAAGUGAAAAAGAAAGAGAAGAGAGGUGUGUUGAAAUGUGAGUAAGCUAAUAUUUUAUUGAUAGAAAUGGUUUAGGGAUUGCAUGAUUGUGCCUCAAAAAUAAGACAUUUGUUAGAUGUCCUAGUGUUUUGAGGCACCACUAGAACAUUGUUGGAGCACCAUUUUACUUCAAAUGUCUUAAAUUUUGAUUUAGGACAUGAUUUUAGGGCAUCCUUGGAAUUGCUCUUACUUUCCGCAUCUCUUCUAAUGAUGUUAUCGAGCCUAUACCGGACCGGAAAAAAGAGCAUAUUAGACGCAAUGUUUUUUUUAGAAUUAAAAGAUAAUUCACAUUCUCAUGGAUAGAAUUUAAACAACAAUAUAAAAAGUUGGGUUGAUGUGUUUUAUUGUCACUUAAAGGUAUGCUAAAAAAAUAUAUUAUUAAAUUUAUAAAAAAAAUCAUAUCUAUCUAUGUUUUUAAAAAUAAUAUAAUCACAAUAUAAUAUUAAUUUUAUAAAUUUUUCAUGGAGACAUACUAACAACAACUUUUUAAGUAGGGUAUUGCAUUCCUAUUAGUUCCAAUCUUAUAAUAAUAAUGACUUUAUGGACGAAAAUUAAUUUAGACUAAUCAAAAUCCACCACCCAAAUUUAAAAGUUGUUGUUGGUGUGUGCACAUGAACACACAUUAGAAAGAUCCGUAUGCAUAGACAUUCGUGCUACUCCGCAUCCCACAACAAUAAGCUUUUUUUGAAAAAAAACAUAUAAAAAAAUUAUUAAUCAAAUAAUAUUUUUUUCACUUGUAAACCCAAUAAAUACAACUCUUGUUAUACAACUUACAAGAUUAUUUUGAAAUGCGAUUUUUUUUUUUUAAAAAGGACUAUUAUAGUGAGACAGAGAGAAUAGUUUUUAGAGAAAUUCUCUAUGGUACACUCAUAGAUUUGGCUUUUCCCGUUGGUACACCUACUAUUUUGACUUCUACGAGUAAUACCCUCAUGGUAUGAUAUUUAUUACCAUGAGGGUAUUACUUGUAGAAGUCAAAAUAGUAGGUGUACCAACGGAAAAAGCCAAAUCUAUGAGUGUACCAUAGAGAAUUUCCCUAGUUUUUGAAUACAUUACCAACGAAUCUGUUCUAAAAGUCGGUGAUUAAUCAUGAUUAAUCACCAAUUAAUCUCAGUUCCAUAACUUGCCGAACUGAUUAAAUAUCCGAUUAAUCCUCAAUUAAUCCGAUUAAUCACCGAUCAAUUCAAUUAAUCUCUGAUCAAUCCUUGUUCCGUGACUUCACCGAUUAAGUCCGAUUCCCGUUUUUUACUACAACGGUACGAAAUGCAAAAGAAACGUUACUUUACAAGCAGCACUCACCUUUAAAGAUACAGCACAGGAGCAGAGUUUCUAAAAAAAAGGGCAAGCGCAAGACGAUGAAGAUGAUGAUGAGGAGGGCUUUCACCACCUGCUUCACUUCAAACACUCUUCUUCCAUUCCCAAGACUAGGUAAUACUAUUACUUCUACUACUACUAUNUACAGCACAGGAGCAGAGUUUCUAAAAAAAAGGGCAAGCGCAAGACGAUGAAGAUGAUGAUGAGGAGGGCUUUCACCACCUGCUUCACUUCAAACACUCUUCUUCCAUUCCCAAGACUAGGUAAUACUAUUACUUCUACUACUACUAUUGCGUUGCUUCGAUUGCAUUCACUUUCUCAGCCAUCCACUUACCCUAACCCUAAUCACAUACCCAAUCAUCUUACGAAAUUUGAACAAUUACUUUUGGAGAAAUCUAGAGUUGGUUUUGAUAAGCUCGACGAUGCCUUAAAUUUUGAUUUAGGACAUGAUUUUAGGGCAUCUUUGGACUUGCUCUUACUUUCCGCAUCUCUUCUAAUGAUGUUAUCGAGCCUAUACCGGACCGGAAAAAAGAGCAUAUUAGACGCAAUGUUUUCUUUAAAAUUAAAAGAUAAUUCACAUUCUCGUGGAUAGAAUUUAAACAACAAUAUAAAAAGUUGGGUUGAUGUGUUUUAUUGUCACUUAAAGGUAUGCUAAAAAAAUAUAUUAUUAAAUUUAUAAAAAAAUAUCAUAUCUAUGUAUGUUUUUAAAAUAAUAUAAUCACAAUAUAAUAUUAAUUUUAUGAAUUUUUCAUGGAGACAUACUAACAACAACUUCUUAAGUAGGGUAUUGCAUUCCUAGUAGUUCCAAUCUUAUAAUAAUAAUGACUUUAUGGACGAAAAUUAAUUUAGACUAAUCAAAAUCCUCCACUCAAGUUUAAAAGUUGUUGUUGGUGUGUGCACAUGGACACACAUCAGAAAGACCCGUAUGCAUAGACAUUCGUGCUACUCCGUAUCCCACAAUAAUAAGUUUUUUUUUGAAAAAAAAAACAUAUAUAAAAAAAUUAUUAAUCAAAUAAUAUUUUUUUCACUUGUAAACCCAAUAAAUACAACUCUUGUUAUACAACUUUCAAGAAAGAUUAUUUUGAAAUGCGAUUUUUUUAAAAAAAGGACUGUUAUAUUGAAAUAGAGAGAAUAGUUUUUAAAUACAUUACCAACGAAUCUGUUCUAAAAGUCGGAAUCACCGAUUAAUCUCAGUUCCAUAACUCGCCGAACUGAUUAAAUAUCCGAUUAAUCCCCAAUUAAUCUGAUUAAUCACCGAUCAAUUCAAUUAAUCUCUGAUUAAUCCUUGUUCCGUGACUUCACCGAUUAAUUCCGAUUCCCAUUUUUUACGAAACGAUACGAAAUGCAAAAGAAACGUUACUUUACAAGCAGCACUCACCUUUAAAGAAACAGCACAGGGGCAGAGUUUCUAAAAAAAAGGGCAAGCGCAAGACGAUGAAGAUGAUGAUGAGGAGGGCUUUCACCACCUGCUUCACUUCAAACACUCUUCUUCCAUCCCCAAGACUAGGUACGAAUACUAUUACUACGACUCCUUGCUCUCGUGUUAUUGCAUUCACUUUCUCAAUCCCCCACUUGCCCUAACCCUAAUCACAUACCCAAUCAUCUUACAAAGCUUCAACAAUUACUGUUGGAGAAAUCUAGAGUUGGUUUUGAUAAGCCUGAUGAUGCUCUUCUAUUGUUUGAUAAAAUGCUCCGUAUGAGACCUCUUCCUACAGUCAUCAACUUUACUCAACUCUUGUCCGCCCUUGUCAAGAUGAAACAUUACUCCGUGGCUGUCUCCGUCUUUUCAAAGAUGUGCACUUUUAACAUUGCGGUUGAUAUAGUUACUUAUAGUACUGUCAUCAACUGUUGUUGCCAUUUGAAGCACGUUGAUUAUGCCUUUGCGCUGUUGGCUGCCAUCUUUAAGCGUGGUUUUGUCCCGAAUGUUGUUACCUACACAACUCUUCUCAGGGGACUCAUUUCCCAGGACAAGUUUCUCGAGGCUGAGCUUAUGUUCAAGAACCUUCUCAAGCACAAUCAGAUUCAGCCUGAUGCAGCUAUCUUUAACACCAUUAUUAAUGGCCAGUGCAAAACAGGCAACACUUCCCAGGCUAUGAUGUUGCUUAGAUACAUGGAGAAGAAAGGUUGUAUGCCGGAUGUAGUAACUUACAACACUGUUAUUGAUAGUUUGUCCAAAGACAGAUUAGUUGAUGAAGCUCUGGGUCUUCUUGCCGAAAUGAGUAACAAAAGCAUUCAACCAAGUGUUGUAUCCUAUAACUCAUUAAUUCAUGGUAUGUGCAACCUUAACCGAUGGGAAGAUAUAACACUAUUGUUAAAAGAUAUGGACAAACACAAAAUUUCUCCAAAUAAGCAUACUUAUAAUAUAUUGGCUGAUGCACAUGCCAGAGAUGGAAAUGUCAAAG